CUAAGAAUAUUCCGCAAUGGACGGAAGUCUGACGGAGCGACGCCGCGUGGAUGACGAAGGCCGAAAGGUUGUAAAGUUCUUUUGCUGGGGAAGAAUAACCGCAGGAGGGAAUGCCUGUGGGAUGACAAGAACCGGCGAAUAGGCCCCGGCCAACUACGUGCCAGCAGCCGCGGUAACACGUAGGGGGGCGAGCGUUGUUCGGAAUUACUGGGCGUAAAGGGCAUGUAGGCGGCUUGGAAAGCCUGGCGUGAAAGUCUGCAGCUUAACUGCAGGGGUGCGCUGGGAACUGCUGAGCUUGAGUGACGGAGAGGGAGCUGGAAUUCCUGGUGUAGGGGUGAAAUCUGUAGAUAUCAGGAAGAACACCGAUGGCGAAGGCAAGCUCCUGGCCGAUGACUGACGCUGAGGUGCGAAAGUGUGGGGAUCAAACAGGAUUAGAUACCCUGGUAGUCCACACAAGUCAACGAUGUGCACUAGGUGCUGGGGCGGUAGCUUCGGUGCCGGAGCGAACGUGGUAAGUGCACCGCCUGGGGAGUAUGCUCGCAAGGGUGAAACUC
rnacentral:rRNA from 1 species